CUCACGAAAGCUUACGCUCAAAUAAAUUUUUAGUCUAAGGUGCCACAAGUCCUCCUGUUCUUUUUGCGGAUACAGACUAACAUGGCUGCUACUCUGAAACCUGGGUGACUUGAGAGGCUUCAGUGUGAACUGCAAGGCAAACUAAAGUAAUGUGUGCCCUCAGGGCUGCGUCAUAAGGCAGGGAGCAGCCUUCAACUACCUAUUGAAUGGGAUGAGUUAGAUGUGACUACGCAGUUAUGACCAGCUUUUAUCUCUGGCCUUAGGAAGCAGGGGUGGGACUUUCCUCAACACCUCAGACACCAAGGAGACAAGAUCUUGAGUGUACAUGCCUUCCAAUGAGCUUGCUCAUCAUUUAAAUAUAGUAUUAAUUCACAUGUGAAGAAUAAAUAUAUAUGACUCAGGCUGCUGAGAUAUAGACUAGGAAUGGUGAAGGCAGCCAGAUAAUGCAGGCCAAUGAUUUAGCGAUCCUAAAAGCUUAUUUAGCCCCAGGACUUGGUGUUGCUCUGCUUCCCUUUUUAUGUAUCUGACACAGUAAUGGAAAAGUGGCAUGCAAGAACUUCACUGCAAAGAUGCUACAGGCAAAAUAAGGUUAUUUCUUUAGAACUACUAGCUGGACAAUUUCUUGAUAACCCUCACUCACCUUGCUGUGACAAGGUGCAGGAUAGUUGGGAGAAAAAUCACCACCAAAAGCUUUGUAAGGAUAUCUUAUUUAUUGGACAUUGCAAGAUAAGAAAAAAUAAUUUGUACAGCUUUGUGAUAUAACCAUUGUUGCUAAAGAGUAAGGCUACUCCUCAUGUGGUUAACAGGCCACAUGUAGCCACCAAGGUGCUUUGCAGCUCUCAAACUAUGCAACAUUGAGGGCUUGAGAAACAAACAUUUGCUCUGAGCAGGACUCCAGACUUCACAUUGUAGCGCAUUUUGCACUGAGUGGGCCUUACAGUAGCAUGAACAUGGCCUCCCUAGAUAUUAAAAAAUGAGGAGCCCUGCUCUACAAGACAUUAGGCAAAUGGUACAACUGCCAAACAAUUGAAAUAUCAGUCUGCUAGGCUGGUUACAUGGCUCUUGCCUUCUUUCUUCACCUCUUCUGUUAAUCUAAUGGCAUGAGAAUCUCAUUCCAUCUCCCAUACCACUUUUGCUCCUCCAUAGCUAGCAAGUCACGAUGGCUUAGGCCUAAGUCUGCAUCCAUUUCCUCCACAUACCC